UACAGAGGGGGCAAGCGUUGUUCGGAAUUACUGGGCGUAAAGGGCGCGUAGGCGGCCUGCUAAGUCGAACGUGAAAUCCCCGGGCUCAACCCGGGAACUGCGUCCGAUACUGACAGGCUCGAAUCCGGGAGAGGGAUGUGGAAUUCCAGGUGUAGCGGUGAAAUGCGUAGAUAUCUGGAGGAACACCGGUGGCGAAGGCGGCAUCCUGGACCGGCAUUGACGCUGAGGAGCGAAAGCCAGGGGAGCAAACGGG
rnacentral:rRNA from 1 species